GCUGUUUAAAUGUGCUACCUCUCUGUGGUGAGCAGCGGGCAACGGGAUCCACUCCCGGCUAAAGCAUAU
rnacentral:ribozyme from 1 species